GACGAACGCUGGCGGCGUGCCUAACACAUGCAAGUCGAACGGAACUGUUUUGAAAGAUUUCUUCGGAAUGAAUUUGAUUUAGUUUAGUGGCGGACGGGUGAGUAACGCGUGAGUAACCUGCCUUCAAGAGGGGGAUAACAUUCUGAAAAGAAUGCUAAUACCGCAUGACAUAUCGGAACCACAUGGUUUUGAUAUCAAAGAUUUUAUCGCUUGAAGAUGGACUCGCGUCCGAUUAGUUAGUUGGUGAGGUAACGGCUCACCAAGACCGCGAUCGGUAGCCGGACUGAGAGGUUGAACGGCCACAUUGGGACUGAGACACGGCCCAGACUCCUACGGGAGGCAGCAGUGGGGGAUAUUGCGCAAUGGGGGCAACCCUGACGCAGCAACGCCGCGUGAAGGAUGAAGGUUUUCGGAUUGUAAACUUCUUUUAUUAAGGACGAAAAAUGACGGUACUUAAUGAA
rnacentral:rRNA from 1 species